UACGUAGGUGGCGAGCGUUAUCCGGAAUUAUUGGGCGUAAAGAGCGCGCAGGUGGUUGAUUAAGUCUGAUGUGAAAGCCCACGGCUUAACCGUGGAGGGUCAUUGGAAACUGGUCGACUUGAGUGCAGAAGAGGGAAGUGGAAUUCCAUGUGUAGCGGUGAAAUGCGUAGAGAUAUGGAGGAACACCAGUGGCGAAGGCGGCUUCCUGGUCUGUAACUGACACUGAGGCGCGAAAGCGUGGGGAGCAAAUAGGAUUAGAUA
rnacentral:rRNA from 1 species